rfam:Oryza barthii chromosome 4, whole genome shotgun sequence.
UUUAAGUGCAGUUAUGAGUUUUUUUUUCAACAUUUAACUGUCCGUCUUAUUUGAAAGUUUUUUAUGAUUAGUACUUUUAUUGAUAUUAGAUGAUAAAAUAUGAAUAUUACUUUAUACGUGAUUUAUUUUUUAAUUUUUUUUAUAUUUUUUUAAAAUAAGACAGACGGUCAAAUAUUGGAUAUCGAAACUAACAACUGCACUUAAA